rnacentral:rRNA from 1 species
AUUGAACGCUGGCGGAAUGCUUUACACAUGCAAGUCGAACGGCAGCACGGACUUCGGUCUGGUGGCGAGUGGCGAACGGGUGAGUAAUGUAUCGGAACGUGCCCAGUCGUGGGGGAUAACGUAGUGAAAAUUACGCUAAUACCGCAUACGAUCUCUGGAUGAAAGCGGGGGAUCGCAAAACCUCGCGCGAUUGGAGCGGCCGAUAUCAGAUUAGGUAGUUGGUGGGGUAAAGGCCCACCAAGCCAACGAACUGUAGCUGGUCUGAGAGGACGACCAGCCACACUGGAACUGAGACACGGUCCAGACUCCUACGGGAGGCAGCAGUGGGGAAUUUUGGACAAUGGGCGAAAGCCUGAUCCAGCCAUUCCGCGUGCAGGAUGAAGGCCCUCGGGUUGUAAACUGCUUUUGUGCAGAACGAAAAGGUUUCUACUAAUACUAGGAGCUCAUGACGGUACUGUAAGAAUAAGCACCGGCUAACUACGUGCCAGCCGCCGCCGUAA